rnacentral:rRNA from 1 species
GACGAACCGUGCGAACGUUAUUCGGAAUCACUGGGCUUAAAGGGCGCGUAGACGGGCGGCCACGUCGAGAGCUGAAAUCCCCCGGCUCAACCGGGGAAGGGGCCUCGAUACGGGUCGCCUCGAGUGGCGGAGGGGGAGCCGGAACCCACGGUGGAGCGGUGAAAUGCGUUGAGAUCGUGGGGAACGCCGACGGCGAAAGCAGGCUCCUGGACGCCGACUGACGUUGAGGCGCGAAAGCCAGGGGAGCGAA